AGUGAACGCUGGCGGUAGGCCUAACACAUGCAAGUCGAACGGCAGCACAGGAGAGCUUGCUCUCUGGGUGGCGAGUGGCGGACGGGUGAGGAAUACAUCGGAAUCUACUCUGUCGUGGGGGAUAACGUAGGGAAACUUACGCUAAUACCGCAUACGACCUACGGGUGAAAGCAGGGGAUCUUCGGACCUUGCGCGAUUGAAUGAGCCGAUGUCGGAUUAGCUAGUUGGCGGGGUAAAGGCCCACCAAGGCGACGAUCCGUAUCGGGUCGGAAGGGAUAUUCAGCCACACUGGGACUGAGACACGGUCCAGACUCCUACGGGAGGCAGCAGUGGGAUAUAUUGGACAAUGGGCGCAAGCCUGAUCCAGCCAUACCGCGUGGGUGAAGAAGGCCUUCGGGUUGUAAAGCCCUUUUGUUGGGAAAGAAAUCCAGCUGGCUAAUACCCGGUUGGGAUGACGGUACCCAAAGAAUUAGCACCGGCUAACUUCGUGCCAGCCGCCGCGGUAA
rnacentral:rRNA from 1 species